rnacentral:rRNA from 1 species
UACGAAGGGGGCUAGCGUUGUUCGGAGUUACUGGGCGUAAAGGGCGCGUAGGCGGCGCACCAAGUCAGGCGUGAAAGCCCUGGGCUCAACCCGGGAAUUGCGCUUGAGACUGGUGUGCUAGAGUACGGGAGAGGAUAGUGGAAUUCCCAGUGUAGAGGUGAAAUUCGUAGAUAUUGGGAAGAACACCGGUGGCGAAGGCGGCUAUCUGGACCGUAACUGACGUUGAGGCGCGAAAGCGUGGGGAGCAAACAGG